CCAAUUAUUGGAACAACACAAAAUAUUAGAUAACAGCAAAGCUAAGGAUGCUCAAAUUUUGAGUCUACAAGCUCAGCUAGGGGAAAAGAAGAAAUUGGAAAGGAACAGUUUCCAAACAGUGAAGGAGGUUUUUCCAAACUCAUCCCUAACUGAACAUGAGGAUGAAUUGGCAUUAGGCGAACACAGUCAGUUAUUCAGUCUACCACCUGACAGUGUGUUAAAGUUAAAUUCUGUUAGUGCUGCACUAAAAGAAUUGUUAGUAAUAAGUCCAUGCAGCGAAGGAAGUGAACAAUUGUGGGACCGUAUUUGGGCUGAAAAUGGGUGUGGUACGGAAACCCAGAAAUGGCAUGAGUUCAACAUCAAACAUGGAUUAGAUUUUAGCGGGGGAUCAAGUCAAGUCUGGAAGUGUUACAGGAUGGAAGAGUGAGCCUACAGUUGAAAAACACAGAAAGUGCAUUACCAUUAAG